UACGUAGGGCGCAAGCGUUGUCCGGAAUUAUUGGGCGUAAAGAGCUCGUAGGCGGUUUGUCGCGUCUGCUGUGAAAACUCGAGGCUCAACCUCGGGCUUGCAGUGGGUACGGGCAGACUAGAGUGCGGUAGGGGUGACUGGAAUUCCUGGUGUAGCGGUGGAAUGCGCAGAUAUCAGGAGGAACACCGGUGGCGAAGGCGGCAUCCUGGACCGGCAUUGACGCUGAGGAGCGAAAGCCAGGGGAGCAAACGGG
rnacentral:rRNA from 1 species